GGUAUUUUAAGAUCAUUAACCAAUUGAAAGAGAGGUUGGGGGCAGAGAAAUUUGAAGUGGUGAAAGUUCCCGCUAAUCAGAGGUGGUUCAGAAUCAACGAGUAAGCACCUUGGGAACUACUGGAGAACGUUAUAGGAGCUCAUUAGGUAGUUAACAAGUUUUGUUGGGCACACACACGGCUUGGUUCUCCUGGGGCUCACAGACUCUAACAUGAUGGACUUCAUGCUCCACAAUCUGGAAGCACAACUGUUGGGAAAUCCUGAAUAGGUUACCAAUAUUUUCACCUAACGACAUCUUUGUUGAAGGUAGAGGGCUUCCUGAAAUCAAUAAUUUGCCCCCAGGACUUAAAUGGAGUCAAGAACAAGGACAAUAAACAGGAGAACAUCCAAAAAGAAGUAAAGAAAGUGUUGGUGCGUUCAUUGUGUUUCCCUAUUGUUGAAUUCAAAAAUGUGUGUGUCACAGGUCAUAGGGAGAAAACUGGACUUCACAGGGGGAAGGAAUUCAUGGAUCCCCAACAAGAUGCUUCUCAAAGUCACCAGACUGCAAUCCUGGGUUUGAAAAAUCUCUGAAUCAAGAGCAUCUCUAGAAAAGCCCUGUGCCACUGAGUCUCCCCAGUGCAGUGAAGAAGAGCGUUCUCCCUGGCUGGCUGUGGUCUCGACAAAUUCCCUUCCAGUCAUGGCCCUCACAUCAGCGCUCACCUCUUCCAUGUGGGAUCGAGUGUAGAAAGAAAUGUGCAUGUGUCCUCCUGACCCAAGCCAGUUCUUGCAGUGUUCUGACCCAUCCUGGAGGGUGGAACGAUAGGAAGUUCUUGAUAACCUUCAAGAAAACUGAAGUGCUGGCACCACUGCCCUCCACCAUGCCAUGAUGCCUGUUCCUGAGGACAGAGCUCUCCAAUGAGGCCAGCAAGAGGUCUCCCGCACAUGCAGACACAGCCACCCCCAGUUACUGUACCCUCCUCCAAGGCAGGGCAAGUCUGAGGCAAGGUCACGCUCAGGAGAGCAACUCAAGAGCCGCGUGUGCAGUUCUGGAAACCUUGAUGCCCUGCACGUAGGAUGAGGAAGAUGUUAAUGAAAAAGGGAGGGUCUAGUUACCAGCCAAGCGUCCACCUUUAUUCUCCUCUGAGCCAGCAGAGAGAGAUGUGGUGCUCUGGCAUCUUUCCAACAAUCUGCACAUUGACCAUGAGCAGGAAGCUAAUUGCUGAGCUGCAAGAGACACAGAAAGCCCAAAGAAGGGGCAUGUCUCCCUGUGUCACACACACACAACCCUCUGACAGAUGCAUUUUAGGACUCUCCUGGAAAAAAGAGAAUUUUCCAGCAGCAACAGCAAGCAGGGGGCAAGAGAUGAGCUCGUGCCACUCCAAGAAUUUGAUGAGCACCCGAUACCAACAGCAUAAAUAAGCCCUUUAAUAAAUUAGAGAGCUAUUCAUUUAAAUGGAUCCUGCCGUCCCUUCGGUGCCAGUUAAUCUGUAAUUCAGAUAGAUCAGGGACGGCUCUGCUGGGAGACAAGAGUCCAGAAUAUAGAAUGAUUUUGUCCCCUGGGCCGAGGAUUCCGCUUGGUAAGCAGCACACACACCCUACAUGUUCACUUCAUUAUUUCUCCUCUCCCUUUCUCACCUACAGACAGUCACAGGCACACACCUGGGACAAAACGUGCACUCUGCCAGACUCGUAUCAACGAGCUCCAUGCACACCCACAUCUAUGUGUGCGUGUCCCCCCAUUCCAUUCUGUGCAUGGCUCCCGUGGUGUGUACAACUUCCGGGCAAGCAUUCCAGGCACCUCAACCAGGACGGGCAAAGGAACACGUGGCAGGUGCAUGUGCCACUUUCCAGAACCCCUGCGGCCAGAGCUGCCCCCUCCUGGAUGCUGUGGUGGGUGGGACACUGUGAUACGAACUGAAUGGUGCUCCUCUCCAGUUAAUAUAUCAGAGUCCUGCCUCCCAGUACAUCCAAAUGUGACUGUUUUGAAGGAAAGGGUCUUUAGAAGGGUAAUUAAGUUAAAAUGAGGUCCCUGGUGGGGGCCUUUCUUGGAAGAAGGGGGGAUUCGGGUCCAGAGACACAUCAAUGGAUGAGCAUGUGAAGCCACAGCGGGAAGAAGGGCCAAGGAGAGAAGCAGCAGGGACACCAGCCCAGCCUCGGUCUUGGGCUUCUGGCCUCCAGGACUGGAAGAGAAUCUGUUUCUGUUGCUGAAAUCACCCAGUGUGUGGGACUUCGUCAUGGCAGUCCUAGCAAAUGAGCACUAAGCCAGGAGGGAGAUGGUGCUCAGAGGAUUGUACAGUCACCACAAAGGGAGUGCCGCCCAUGUCAGUAUUUGCUGGUAGACUUCUGCACGAGGACACCUGUUAUAGGCCCUUCUAGUCUUACAUGGUGCAAUGUCCUAAGGCUGCAAUACAUGUUAAAAAGGUUUGCCAACUAGAUGAUACCGCCAAAGGUGUUCUGUUGCUGCUGCUGCUGCUGCUGCAUAUGCUCUGGCACAUGCGAAACCAACUCCACAUCCAGUGAUGAGCAUUCCCAGAUUGUCCCAAGACCACACAGGGGUGGUGAUAAUUACUGCAAUACAAUGACUACCAUUUUUUAAAUGUUACAUGUGCCAGGCCUGUGCAAACCAUCUUCCAUCCAUCAUCCCCCUUAAUGCUCUCAACACCCCCAUCUCUGUAGGGUAACUGCAACUAUUAUCCUUAUUUUAGAGUAGAAGAAACAGAAACUGAGAGAUUUAGCGAAGUCAUGUAAGUGACGAGCUGGGACAUAAGCCCCUAACUUAAUCACUACCAUCAUUUACGUUCUAUUCGGUUGCACAAAUAUUGACUGCAUGAGCUUUCUUUUGCAGGCCCCAGGCUGAGAGGUGCUGAAAACCAUCUGUUCCUUCCAGGCAAUUGCCUACUUAAUCUCUUGAGGUCAAGGGUGUGACCUUCCUUACAAGGAGAGCUCUCCCGUGAACUGCUGCUUCAGGCACAUCAGAAGUUUCAGGUCACUGGCACGAUUUCCCAAGCAGGGAGUGAAAGAGAAAAACUGAGAUCAGAGACACUGGGUCUAGUCCCAAGCCUGCCCAGAUGGUGACCUGAGACUCUCUGGGGGAAGCAUGUUCUCACAGAGGGAACCACAGGCGUGAAGUCCCCAAGGAAGCAGCAUGCUUAGCAUGGUCAAGGAAUAGCUUGGAGGUCAGUGUGGCUGGUGGGGAGUGACCAGCAGAAGGAGAAGGGGUGGAGGAUAAGUACGAGAGGCAGCCCCAACACAGACCAUGAGACCCUGCUCAACCAUGGGGACCCUGGGAGUGAGCAUGUACUUUGCCCUAGAGCUGAGCCCCGGGGACCCGCAAGAGCUGAUUAUCCUGCAUACGAGAUGGCUGGGGCUAUGGUGUGCGGGGCAGACACGUAGCUUGGGAGUGUGGAAGCAAAGAGCCCAGACCAAAGGCUCUCUGGAUCGUCUAGGAGAGAGAAAAGAAGGAAGCAAAACCCCAGUGUGAGAAGUAAUUUUUGCCAAGAAUACCGUUAGCCACUGGUCUCAUCUUCCAAUUCAUUAUCAAUAUAUUCCAAAAUUUCAAAAUGGAUUAUUGUCUGGUAUCAAACAAGGGGCUUGCAAUGCUUCUCUUUUCCAUUCCUUAUUAUUAUUUUUUUGAACUUUUAAAGUAACCUUCAUUAAGAAAAAAACAUUGUUUUUAAUUUUUCUUUUCAUAUACCUUUAUUGAUUUUCAUGUUAAAAUGUUUCUUUUAAUAUUUGAAAACAGAUCCGCCCUCCCUUGUUCAGUGACUUGUACUGUGCUUUGGGAAAGGAGAGCCAAAGAAAAACUCCUUAGACCAGGGCUCGAUAAUAGGCCCCAUCCCUUGGACAAAUUACUGAGCUCAGAGCACCUGCAAACCUGGCCUGCAACUACCUGGUUCAUUUGGUGUGAAGAUUAGUUCAAGGGAAGAGUUAAGAAGGGCUGGGACUUCGCCGGUGCACACAGUAGGUGCUGCAUAUAUGUUAGCAUAGAGGAUAAUGAUGAUGAUGACAAGAACAAAGGCAAAGCCCAUCUGCCCAGCCUCAUCCCUUCCUAACCUGCCACCAGCUCAUGCACACACAUCAGGCUCAACAGAGCUGCUGGUGGUUCUCUGAACUGUCCUGUUCUCUCUAGUCUCCUGUUCUUACACACCUCCAGUCUGUCUAAACAGAGCUCUCCAACAAAUAAUUCUGUGUGUCCCUAAAGACUCAGCCCAGGUGCCACUUCUCUCGGGAGGCCCCACAGGCAUCUCUGCUGUGCUGGCAGAGCCGCGGCUGCUGGCGGCUCCUCCCCUCCCGACCUGCCCACCUUCCCCUGGAGACCGUGGGUUUUCCCAUGGCAGUGAGAGUGUCCUUCACAUCUGUGCCAGGAACUGAGCCCUGAACCAAGGCGCCUGCAGGCCCCUCACCAACAUGGGGCAUUUCUGUUUUAUCCUGUGGCUCCCAUGCCUCACACAGUGUCCUUCUCACCCAUGGUCAGUGUUCAACAAACAUGUUGACAAGGCAGACGAAUGAAUGAACCAUUCCUUACAUCUUCUUUUCUCUUGUCAUGAGAGUCCAAAUAACCCAGAGCCCAGAUGAACAGACCAUCUAUCUGAAAAAGAAAGAACUUCUCUCGCUUCCAAGUUGGCCACUUCAGUAGGCCGAACAGUGUCUUCUGCCCCCCCAAAGAGAUAUGUCCCCCUGGAACCUCAGAAUGUGACACUAUUUAGAAACAGAAUCCUUGUAAAUAUCAUUAAGGUAAGUAUCAGAAUGAGAUCAUAUAGGGGCAGGUUGGGCCCCAAAGCCAAUGACAGCACGUUUUUACAAAAGACAGAACAGGACAGAGAGGCACAGAGAAGAAGGUCAUGUGAGAGAAACAGCCGGCAAUGACACAGCCACAAGCUGAGGAGCGCGUGGGGCCACCAGAAGCUGCAAGAGGCAAGGCCAGAGCCCCCCCCAACAGCCUUGGGAGAGAACACAGCCCUGCCGACACCGUCUUUUAAACUCCUGGCCUCCAAAACUGCAAGCAAAGUACAUGUCCGUGUUUUAAGCCAGCCGGUUUGUGGCGAUGUGUUGUGGCCACCCCAAAACACAGUCAUGGUCAUCUGCAGAUGUGUCAGGCCCAGAGAUGGAGUUUUCAGGUGGUCCUUCAAGGCCACGCUCAUCCUUACUCCAACUGUAAGCAUCACACCUGCAACCUCACAUCCUCAAGCGGUUGACUCCUCCUUGCUUUUUGCCCCAAGUUCACUGUCCUGUUUACUGCUCCACAGCCUCAGGAGGCAGGUUCAUUGCAGUGAUUUUCACUGGUGUGCCAUGAAAGGAUCUUA